AACGAAGAAUUAGGGUUCGAUUUCGGAGAGGGAGCAUGAGAAACGGCUACCACAUCUAAGGAAGGCAGCAGGCGCGUAAAUUACCCAAUCCUGACUCAGGGAGGUAGUGACAAGAAAUAGCAAACCGGGAACCUCAUGGUUUCACGGUAUUGCAAUGAGAACAAUUUAAAACCCUUAGCGAGAAUCAAGUGGAGGACAAGUCUGGUGCCAGCACCCGCGGUAAUUCCAGCUCCACUAGCGUAUAUUAAAGUUGUUGCAGUUAAAAAGCUCGUAGUUGAACCUCUGUCUGGGGCUAGUUUUGGCUUUGGUCAGGCUAGUUCUAGGCAUCCGCCUACAAGACUUAGAGGGCAUUCAUUUGUUCACUAGGAGGAGUAGGCAUUUUACUUUGAAAAAAUUAGAGUGUUUAAGGCAGGCAAUCGCCCGCAUAUAUUAGCAUGGAAUAAUAGAAUAGGACACUUUUCCAUUUCGUUGGUUAUUGGAAUCGUGUAAUGAUUAAUAGGGACAGUUGUGGGCAUUUGUAUUUAAUUGUCAGAGGUGAAAUUCUUGGAUUUAUUAAAGACAAACUAACGCGAAAGCAUUUGCCAAGGAUGUUUUCAUUAAUCAAGAACGAAAGUUAGGGGAUCAAAGACGAUCAGAUACCGUCCUAGUCUUAACUAUAAACUAUUCCGACUCAAUGUUUGACUGGCUUAUAUAACCAGUUGAGCGUUGUAUGAGAAAUCAAAGUCUUUAGGUUCUGGGGGGAGUAUGGUGCAAAGCUGAAACUUAAAGGAAUUGACGGAAGAGCACAACCAGGAGUGGAUUCUGCGGCUUAAUUUGACUCAACACGGGGAAACUUACCAGGUUAAAACAAUAGUGGGAUUGACAGUUUGAGAGCGCUUUCUUGAUUGGUUGGGUGAUGGUGCAUGGCCGUUCUUAGUUGGUGGAGUGAUUUGUCUGCUUAAUUGCGUUAACGAACGAGACCUUAACCUGCUUACUAGACUGGCGAUCAUCAAUCGUUAGCUCUUCUUAGGGGGACUUUGGUUGUUUUAACUCCAAGGAAGUUUGAGGCAAUAACAGGUCUGUGAUGCCCUUAGAUAUCCUGGGCCGCACGCGUCAUACAAUGACUAGUUCAGAAAGUUUUCUCCUGACCCGAAAGGGGAUGGGUAAUCUUGAUAAUACUAGUCGUGUUAGGGAUCGAUCUUUGCAAUUAUAGAUCUUGAACGAGGAAUUCCUAGUAAGUGCGGUUCAUCAGACCGUACUGAUUACGUCCCUGCUCUUUGUACACACCGCCCGUCGCUUCUACCGAGUGGGUGGUCCGGUGAGAUAAUUGAACUUCGCAGGUAACUGAGAGGAAAGAUUAUCAAACCUAUCCACCUCGAGGAAGAAGAAGUCGUAACAAGGUU
rnacentral:rRNA from 1 species